GUCUCUGGUGAUGAUUAAAAAUGAAAACUUUCGUUCUUCUGAUGCGCUUUUUCAUGGCGCGGUGGGGAAGCAAUCUGGAGACCUGAACUGAAGAGAC